AUUGAACGCUGGCGGCAGGCCUAACACAUGCAAGUCGAGCGGAUGAAGGGUGCUUGCUCCUGGAUUCAGCGGCGGACGGGUGAGUAAUGCCUAGGAAUCUGCCUGGUAGUGGGGGAUAACGUCCGGAAACGGGCGCUACUACCGCAUACGUCCUGAGGGUGCAGGUGGGGGAGCUUUGGACCUUACGCUAUCAGAUGAGCCUAGGUCGGAGUCGCUAGUUUGUGGGGUAAGGGCCUUCCUAGGCGACGAUCCGUAACUGGUCUGUGAGGAUGAUCAGUCACACGGGAGCUGAGACACCGACCAGGCGCCUGCGGGACGCAGCAGUGGGGAAUAGUGGACAGUGGGGGAAAGCCUUACCCAGCCAGGGCGCGUGUGUGAAGAAAGUCUUCCGAUUGUAAUGAACGUUUUGGGGGGAUAAACGGCAGUAACUUAAGACCUUGCUGUUUUGACGUUACCAACAGAAUAAGCACCGGCUAACUACGUG
rnacentral:rRNA from 1 species